GUUUUUUCGAUAAUAAUUUAAAGUUUAAUYUAGCCCMCUGAAUUUAUUUUUAAAGGGCUGCAGUAUAUUGACUGUACAAAGGUAGCAUAAUAAAUAGUYUUUUAAUUGAAGACUUGAAUGAAUGAUUUGAUGAGAUAUAAGCUGUYUCAUUGUUAAAAAUAGAAAUUAAUUUUUUAGUUAAAAAGCUAAAAUAUGUAUAAAAGACGAGAAGACCCUAUAGAGUUUAAUAAUUUUUUAUAUUUUUAUUUUAUAUAAAUUUUUCAAUUGAUAUAUAUAAAAUUAUUUUAUUGGGGUGAUAGAAAAAUUUAAUAAACUUUUUUUAAAAAAUUAACAUUAAUAUAUGAAUUUUUGAUCCAUAAUUUAUGAUUAUAAGAUUAAAUUACCUUAGGGAUAACAGCGUAAUUUUUUUUUUUAGUUCAAAUAAAAAAAAAAGUUUGCGACCUCGAUGUUGGAUUAARAUAAAAUAUAAAUGCAAAAGUUUAAAAUUUUGAUCUGUUCGAUCAUUAAAAUCUU
rnacentral:rRNA from 1 species